rnacentral:rRNA from 1 species
UACGGAGGGUGCAAGCGUUAUCCGGAUUCACUGGGUUUAAAGGGGGCGUAGGUGGGUUGGUAAGUCAGUGGUGAAAUCUCCAGGCUUAACUUGGAAACUGCCAUUGAUACUAUCAAUCUUGAAUACCGUGGAGGUCAGCGGAAUAUGUCAUGUAGCGGUGAAAUGCGUAGAUAUCGAGAGGAACACCUGCGGCGAAGGCGGGUUGCUGGGCUGACACUGACGCUGAGGCGCAAAAGCUAGGGGAGCGAACGGG